AAUAUAGAGCAGGGCCACCCGUGUGGGGGAAAGAUAGCCAAGGCCCCAUUAGCAUGGGAGAUUGAUCUCUUUUCCCAAACAAAGGGCAUUUUAGCAAGUCCCACCCAGAUGUUUCAUUCUUUGGAGGUGCUGGGAUGAGAUUGGAAGCAUCCCUCUUCAGGACAUGGUGGCAUCUUGUCUUCAAACUUGUUUCUUUGGGUGAUGUAUGGCUGCUCAGGCUAGAACAGCUGGGAAAUUGCUGUUAAUGGCAGUGAGAGGAAGGAGGGGGAAGAGGGAGAAGGAGGAGAGGAGAACAACAACACUCGAACGGAAGACCGGGGAUUUAAGUCAUUUCCCCCUGCUUUAUAUAUUGAUAGUGCAUCUCUGUUUGUUUAUUCCUUUAUCUGAGUUUUGUUUUGUUGUAGAUGUUUUGGCCUAGAGUGGAUGGGAAUUUGUGAGACAGGGAAUUAUUUCUUCCUGAGAAGAAGAGAAUUUAAAACGAGGUUUAAAUUUGUGCUACUGAAAGAGCAGGGCAAAAUAAGAAGAGGAAAAAACCCAAAAGCAUACCGAUCUUCAGAGGAUCUCGGAGCCUUUCCUGUUCUACAGCAUUUUUAUAAUGACUGUUGAGUGGCUGCCAUUGAUGGAACAGCUCUCCUUCUUGCCAAUGGACUGAAUUCAUUUCUUACAGAAUUACAGAGGAUUCUGGAAUUUGGUAUAGGCUGCCUUGAGUAUUCUGUUUUUGAAGAUGAAGCAGAUUUAUCACAGCUGUGCCCUCCUCCAGCUCAGUCUGACAGCAACCUGAGUGCUCCAUAGGAGGAGGAGGUAGGAGAGAUGGUCCCAAUACCUCAAGAUAGGAGAAGGUUGUGACACCUAGUAUACACUCAGUCCCUCUCCUGUGUAUGAAGUGAGAGGCUGCAGGCCUGAAAUAUGGUCUGCAAGUUGGGUGGGGCUAAAUCAGCUGAAAGUUGAGGGCUUUCCCCCUUUUGGUUGCUGGAAACAAACCUGUCCCCCCCCCUCCAUCCUACACAAUGAGAUCUGACUGAUUUAUGACCCUGGAUUGUUUCGUGACCUUGUUAUCUGCUACCAUGGACUUUAAGUUUCACAGCUCCUGGACUGUUUGGUUUUGGAUACUGCUUGCUCCUUCAGCUUCUGAAAUUCUGGAACCCUGCCUGCUGGUGCAGUGUGAGAACCAACCUUUAGCGACCAAUCAAAAGAGAGGAAUAGACACAAAGUUCCUUUUCAGAAUUAAAUACUGGUGCUAAUCUGA